CAUAAUUUUUUUUUUUAAAGAAUCAAACACCUAGAAAAUAAGACUGCAGAAUUGGAGCAAUGCAACAAGAGCAAAUGACUGAUGGUGGUUGAGGGAAGUCUUACUGGAGUCAAAAGUCUGAGAAAAAUGAAUGCAUGCAUUGGCCAAGAAGCAGUCAAGUAUUAAAGGGAUAGUCUAAGACUGGCUGAAAGAGGCUUGAUAUAGUCCAGAUAUAUUGACUCCGUCCAGAUAUAUUGACCCAAGCUCAGAUAUACAGAAUAAUUAAAGAGGACCUCAUCUAGGAAAAACAGUCUUCCAGAUUGUGAGUUACACUAUGGAGAGACCCAUGUGACAAAGAACUGAUAAUUCUGUCUGAUAGCCAGUGAGGACCUGGGGUAUGACAGCAGCCAUCUGAGUGAAGCUGGAAGUGCAUUGUUGAGACUUCCCAAAAAGACUGAGCUUGGAAAUAGAUUCUUCUCCAGUUGAGCCUCGAGUUGACUGCAGUCCCUGCCAAUACCUUGGUUGUAGCCUUGUAGGAUACCUUGAAUCAAAGGUAUCCAGCUAAGCUGUGCCCAGAUUUCUGACCUACAGAAAUGGUAAGAUAAUAAAUAUUUUGUUUUGUGUUGCUAAGCUUUAGGGGUAAAUAGAUAAACAGCAAUGGAUAACUAAUGCAUCUUCCUUCAUUGUUUACAUUCAAAUGUAUAUAUCUGACCUAAGGAGAAAACAUUUUAAGGUAUGGUGGAUAUAAGAACUAAUGUGAACACUAUGGGAGUCCUCGAAAAAUUAAACACAGAAUCACCGCAGGACUCAACAAUUCCACUUUUGGGUAUAUCCUCAAAAGAAUUGAAAACAGGGACUCAAACAGAUAUUUGUCACUCAUAGAAGCAUAUUCACAAUAGUCAAAAGGUAGAAAUAACCCAUAUGCCCAUUGACAGAUGAAUGGAUAAAAAAAUGUGGUGUAUACACACACACACACACACACACACACACACACACACACAAAGGAAUAUUAUUCAGCCUUAAAAAGGAAGAAAAUUCUGACGUAUGCUACAACAUUGAUAAAACUGGAAGAUAUUGGACUAAGUGAAAUAAUCACACAAAUACUGUAUGACUCCAUUUACAUGUUGUACCUAGAGUAGUCAAAUUCAUAGAGACAUAAAGUAUAAUGAUGGCUGUCAGGGGCUGGGAAGAAGGGGAAUGGGGAAUUACUGUUUCAUAGUUAUGGAGUUUUAGUUGGGGAAGAUGCUAAGAAUUCUAGAAAUGGGUGAUAGUGAUGAUUGCAUGACAAUGUGAAUGUACUUAAUGUCACUGAACUGUACACUUAAAAUAAUUAAAAUGAUAAAUUUUAUGUUAUGUACAUUUACCACAGUAGAAAAAUAAAAUAAAAUAAGAACAAACAGAAAACAAUGGACAAAGAAAGAACUAUGUAAAGGAAAACCCUCCCUUCACUCCUAUACUUUU